rnacentral:rRNA from 1 species
UUGAACGCUGGCGGCAUGCCUUACACAUGCAAGUCGAACGGCAGCACGGGAGCAAUCCUGGUGGCGAGUGGCGAACGGGUGAGUAAUACAUCGGAACGUGCCCAAUCGUGGGGGAUAACGCAGCGAAAGCUGUGCUAAUACCGCAUGAGAUCUACGGAUGAAAGCAGGGGACCGCAAGGCCUUGCGCGAAUGGAGCGGCCGAUGGCAGAUUAGGUAGUUGGUGAGGUAAAGGCUCACCAAGCCUGCGAUCUGUAGCUG